GCUGCGUGCUCAGUCACUCACCCAUGCCCGCACACCCUCGCGCUCUUGUGCACACGUUAGCACACACAUACAUGUCUUGAUGCACAUGCAAACCCGGUAAAUUACGCAAACAGACGUGUAAACACACCCAUGCGUGUGUGCACACUCAUGUGCAGAGGGCGCUCAGGCAUGUGCGCACCCAUUAAUGCGCUCGCUGACACAGAAGCUUAAGGCCCACAGGAGCUUAAGUUCGCACUCACUCCCACUCACGCGUACACACGCCACACUCGAAUCUGAACUCACACGUAGUUCAGUUGCCCUCCCCCACUCCCAACACACACUGAAAACCCGCCUAUUUGGCCCCGCGGCCCCCAUUUUCAAAGCACAGGUUCCGAUUUCCCGAGAGAUGGCAAAGGCCCUGGCAGGAAGUUUACAGGGUUUAAAGUAAACAAGUUCUGGGGGAUUCUUUAAUAAUAAUAAUAGAGAAUUCCGCGUGCGCAGCGCGGGAGGGGGGAGUUGGCCUAAUGCCCCUGUGGGCUCGGCCUGCCGCCGCCGCGGGGGCCUCUGACACUGCGCGCCAGGCCAGGUUCCUGAGAGCAGACAGCGAGGGCGGGGAGCGCGGGCCAGGGCGGCCCUCGCGCGCCUGGCUGCCAGCCCGCAGGGGGCUCGCACGCAGACCUGCCCUUGCCACCUCAGCCCUAGGGUGCGGGCUGGGGCGGUGGAGCCAGGGAAGGUGGUGCGGAGUGCCGAGCGCAGGACUGCGCAGGAGCCCCGGCGCAACGCUGUGCGCACAGACCCAGGAUUUGUGAAGAGGUGACCCAAAUUUCCAGACAAUGUUGGAUGCAAACCGAUUUGCCAGCAAUUGCAUCACUGUCAAAACCAGCUCUGCCCGUGUCUUCCGAAGAUACCAAGUGAAAUACGUAUAGAUGUGAUUUACAUCUGAGAAACCAAGGGGCCAAUGUGGGUUGUGGAGUGAAGCAGGAAGCUCUGCAGAGUUCCUUGGUCAAAAGGAUGAAUUACAAAAGAACCCCACGAACACGAAGAAGAAGAGAAGGGAAUCCUGGGUAUUUAAAGCCACAGAGAAACUUGAUAUGGUCUUGUCUCCUUCUCUCAACUGACAGUGAGAAACUGAAGACCAGAGAGGACUAGGAAGAUACAUCCAAAAAGGAAGUGAUUGCGCCACUGCACCCCAGCCUGGGCGAGAAAUUCGCUGGCAGUGUCAGUCGCUGUCUCCCUGCACUUCAUCCGUCUGAUAUCCCAGUACCUAGUGCUGUACUAGGCACACACUGUACUUCAAAAGGAAGCAUUAGUCUGCAUUAAUUAUCACCAGUGCAUUCGUCUGUGUAUUGUCUGUUCAUUCAACAAAUAUUUAGUAAGAACCAGGCAUUGAACUCGUGGUUAACGAGGAGCUUCCAUUCUGGUUGGAAGAGGCAGACGGUAAGCAACAUGAAUGGGCAAGUCCACGGAAAGAUGGUUUCAAAUACAGCUAAGUGCAAUGAAGACGGUAAACCAGGUAAGGAGAUAGAGAAUGACGGCAGGAGGGACACACCUGACCUGGUGCCAUUUGAGCCAAGGCUUGCAUCGUAAAGAGUCAGACAGGAAACAAUCCAGAAGAAGAGUGUUCUAGACAGAAAGCAUAGCGCAUGCAAAGGCCCUGAGGUCACAGCAAUGUGAUGUCUUCCAGGAUCUGGGAGGAGGCCAGUGUAGCUGGGACUGGGGGAGUAGAAAUCUGAGAAAGCAGAGAGGAUGGAAAGCGAGGGUGGAAAGAGUAGGCAGGGGCUGUGGUGAUCUUGCCAGCCUAGUGAGCUGGGAAAAGCAUGCAUUCUAUUCUAAAUGGGAUGGUUAAGCAUUGAAGGUUUUUAAUGAGAAUGACAUGCUCUGUUGGUGGUUUAGACCAUGUCUGCAAACUCUCUGAUGCUUCUUCUCUGGAAGAUGAGGUCUAGGACUCCUCCCCUGGAGUUGGGCAGGCCUAUGAGAUCGUUUGGAUGGCUUGACUGGCAGAAAUGACUCUGUGUGACUGUCAAGGUUAGGUGAGUAGAGAAGCUUCUGCCUGGGCCCUGUCUCAGGAUGCACGCUUUAGGAGCUGCGUUGUAAGGAGUCCUUGUAAGGAGUCCAGCUACCCUGGACUCCUUGUAGAGAGGCCACAGAAAGUCAUUCAGAGGCUCAACUGGGCUGAAGGUGCAAGGUUUCUUGCUCAUGUGGCCAUCAGUGGUGCUUGCUGCUAUUGGGAGCUCCACUGGACUUUUGACCAGAGCUCCUCAGCUCACCUCUGUGUAUCCUUGCCAUGUGGCUAAGGCUUCUAACAACACAGAGGCUGGAUUCCAAGAGGAGGGAAGUAGAAGCUUUCAGCCUUCUUAAGACCAGGAUUCAGAUGUCCCAGACUGUCAUUGUAUUGACCGGAGCAUUUACAGGCCAGCCCAGUAAUUUUUCCAUCUCUGGGCAAGAACAGGUAGCAUAUGCCGAGGGUAGGGGUAGCAUUGUUGGGGACCAUCUUUGGAGCAGUGUGCCAAGGAGUAAAUUGCUGGGCUGCUUUCUACCUGGGGAGGUUCACUGUGUUUGCUUGUGGAGAGGGGAUUGUGUGCUCAGAGUCCACCAGGAUUUAAGAAUCAGUUCCCAGCCCUGCUCCCCUUGCCUCAGCCCGUGCAUUAGGGCCCUGUGGUGAGGGCACUGAGCCAUUGUGAAUCAAGGCCUCUCCCGCAACCUGCAUACUGACAGGCGAGAGGAGCUUUCUUGAUUUUGGUCCUAGGCUUCUGCCUGUGGGUUGGAUUCCAGGGGCACUCCGUCCUCCACAAACCAGUGACAGGUGCAGCCCCUCCAUGGAGGCUGUCCACACUUCACCCUAAAGACAGAUCCUGCUGUUCAGCAGCAAUGUGAGUGGCCCACACAUUUGCCCAGCAUGAAACUGUUUUCAAAUUCCUUUCCAAUACACAGUCCCAUCAGCCAGUCACAUCACGAUGACAGCUCCUCGAAACACCUUUUGGUUUGCAGUUGCGUAGCUUAGAGCCUGCACAACUUCAGGACUUCACAGAAAGAACACACUUUGUGCUUCGAGAAGUUAAUUAUGGGAAUAUCCUGCAACCUGCUGCUCUGAGCCUGUGCACCUGGGGUGUUUCCCCGGAGGUCCUGUGUAUGCGGAUACUCAUCAGCAUGGGGUUUGGGGAAGCCUAGCACUGGAGGCAACCUAGGUGGUGCUCUCCAGGGGAGUGGGUAAGAGCCCCGCAGUGUAUGCGUAUGAGGGGAUCCUAGGCAGCAGUGAAAAGCAUUGAAGGGAAAGCAUGUUCAGCAGUGCUCUGAAUCUGAUCAGAGGGGAUCCUAGGCAGCAGUGAAAAGCAUUGAAGGGAAAGCAUGUUCAGCAGUGCUCUGAAUCUGAUCAGAGCAACCUGAACACAUUUUAAACACAGGGCAUCUAGAACUAGGGUAGAGGCACUAGAGCACCAUAGACACAAACUCAGAUUCUGAAGGUAAAUGUCCAAGUUCCAAUCCAAGCCCCCUCGCCAACUGACCACGACUCCCCCAAGUUACCUGACCUCUGUGUUUACAUCCUUAAAGUUAAGUAGUCAGGAAAGGGGGCUUGGGGCUUGCUACAUGAAUGGUUGCCACUCUCCUUUGCAAAGUGUAGUCCCCAAAAACAGGUGGAAGAGGGAAGGGUCCAAUCAGAAGGCCGAGUACCAGCUGCCGUGAAUAUGCCAGAGCUGCUGGCUAGUGAUAUAUCACUCAAAUCCGGUGGGACAGCAGAGCUAGGGUGACCUUACAUUCUAGGAAAGAAAAGAUGCCUGUUGUCCUGGCUUUUUAUCCAGCUUAAACAAAGAUGGGCAAAGAAAAUAAUUUAGAAAAUAGUAGAGAUGAGCUCAGAGAAAGGGCACAGAUGGAAGCACAAACAGAAGGCCAAGUGAUGGUGGAGGCAGACACUGGAGAAAUGCCUUUGCAAGCCAGGAGAUGCCAAGGAUGCUGGUGACCCCGGGAGCGGGAUGAACCUGGAACACGCUCUCCCUCAGAGUCUCCAGAAGGAACCGGCCCUGCAUCACCUUUUGGACUUCUGGCCCCCAGAACUACACAAGAAAACGUUUCUGCUAUUGGAGGCCAUCCAGCUGGUGGCCAUUUGUUAUGGUCACCACAGAAAAAAAUAUAGAUUUAGGCAUCUAAUUUGCAUAUAUAGAUGUGCAUGUGUAUUUGUUAAAUAAAACAUAAGGCAUAAUAACUCAAUGGACAACAAUACAACUCAUUAAAUUGUGUUGGUUAAAAAAAUGAUAGAUAUCACCCACACAUUUUUAUGUGCUGGUAAAGAGAAAAAUCCAAGACUACAUAGGGUUCCUCUUAUUUUAAUUAUUUUAUUCUUUUAAACAACAAACAAUGUGGCUAAAGCAAACAGAAAUUAUUUUUUCAUGAAACAAACAGAAAGGGUUCAAUGCACUUAAAUGAUUAAAAUGAUCAACCAUUCCCACCAGCAUGGAAACAGGGCUGGGGUUGCAGACAGUGAUGUGUGUGGUGUGCAUCUGUGGGGUUUGGGGUUUUGCUUAUUUUGAGGGAUGGGAGUAGAAGCCUUUCCGAGAAAUGCACACCCAGGAGCGAGUUCCUGGGCCACAGAGCUGGCUCCCUGCUGACUGACUGGUUCAUGGUGCAAUCUGGGUUUGGGGGCAGCUUUGCUGCAGGCAGGAGCCUCAACCCUUCAGAACAGGAUUCCACUCCUGAGACCUCAUCUGUCCCUGAGUCUCAGGACACACCAGCCGGAAACUGCAACCCUUCUGUGUCAAGCAAACAGCACUCAUGCCUUUGCAAUUCCCCAGUGCUCCCAGCACACCUGCAGCAUUUGGGAACACUGUUCUCAGUUUUCUCUGUGUGCUCAUCUACUUGGAUGCCAGACUAUUAUCAUCAUCCUCAUUCUACAGGGGAAACUGAGGCACAGAGAGGUUAAAGUCACUUUCCCAUUGUAGGGACAACAGGACUAGAACCCCAGAGCUCCACCAUCCAACUGAAGGAGGAAGGGGGCUUAGCUGCGUGGAAAGGGGGCGCCCUACGGAACACACCCUUGGCUUCACCUUCACCUGUACUUGGCCGCCUCCGUUUCCCCUUUCUAUCUUCCUGGACCUCAGUUCAAGGGCCACCUCCUCAGAGGGGCCGUCCCCACACCAGGGCACCUUCCCCCCACUCCUCCCCAUUUUGCUCUCUGCGUGGUACCUUACUUGUCACUGUCUGAAGUUAUCCUGCUUUUGUCAGGGUCCCAGGGGCAGGGAAUAUUCUCUCCUGUUCCUGGAGAUCGUUGCCUCCCCGGCACUUAGUGGGGUGCUGGCUCCCAGGUCCCGGGUCUGCAUUCUCGUGGGCUUGGGCCCUGACCUCAGCCUCUGACAUUUACAUCCAUGUCUGGAGUGCCAGGCACAUCAUAUUUUACCCUCGAUGGGAACAAGACAGUUGCCCCAUUUUGAUGUAAGAAGAGGCCAAGUCCCCUGGCCCAGGUCACAGCAACAGGUGAAUUGAGAGCCAGGCACCCCUGACUCCUGAGUCCCAGGUUGCAGCCUGGCCUGAGGGCUGGGAAGACUUAAGGAAAUUCCAAAGGAACAGUUACUGUUUUUGUUACAAGUCAAUAGCCAUGAGACCAGGAUGCUGGAUGCCCAGGGUCUCGCCAUCUGUAGGUUUACACAGAGAUUCCAGAAACGAGGCAACAGGCAUGAAGUCACCCCACAAAGGCCAGGCCAUCCAAGUAGGACACCCCAUGAGAAGGAAGUGGGUUCUGUGCCCGCCUCAGCCUGUAAAAACAGGACAGCAGGGCAGAGGAAUGAAGAGUCCCCAUCCAAGGGCUCUGCGGGGCUUCCACACCAUCCCUGAGCCAUCCCCCUUGGGCCUCUGGUGAGCAUGUGUGCGUGGGACACUAGGACCCUAUUUUUUUAAGCCACUAUGGUCAAGUCUCUCCUACAGCAGCUGUACGUGCUCGGUAACUAAAAGAUGCUUGAAUGUCUGACUCCUUUUGCAUUUCCUUGAGAGGCAGCAGUUCACCCCAGGAAGGAUUAGGAUGUUAUGGUUGGAAUGCAGAGAGAAAGCUUUUGAUUUCCAAAACAGGCUAUUUGAGUCUGUGUCAUCCCAAUAGCCCCGCAGUCCUGCAUUCUGACCACCUGCCCUUUCCAUAGCAGGAGUCAAGGCCUCUGAAACAGGUUGUGGAGUUUCACAGAACCCACAAGUAGAGGAAUCCCUGCCUGCACCUGCAAUGGGAAUCCUUCCGAAGGGAAGGCUGAGAGAAGCGAGGUGAGGCUGGGGUAGGUAUGGCUGGGUGGGGUGAGGCUGGUGUUCUCAGGGUUGAACCUCAUGGGGUAGAUGCAAUCUGAGAACUCAGGGAGUCUGAGGACUGUGCGACCUCCAAGCAACUACCCUGAACUACUCAUUCAUGAUUUUUAGAUAGAGCCGCACUCUCCCCUGCAGGGAGGAGACAAAAAUUUCUGAGAUGGCAGAGAAAAAUAGUCACCCUCAUGUGGGAGUGCCCUGGGGCUGCCAAAGAAAAUUACCACCACAAAUUUGGUGACUUAAAACAACAGAAAGUUAUUUUCUCCUAAUCCUGGGGGCCAGAGCCUGAAAUCAAGCUGUCAGCAGGCCUCUGUUUUCCCCAGAGGCUCCAGGGGCGGCUACUUCCUGCCUCUUCCAGCUCCUGGUGGCUCCAGGCACUCCUGGGCUUGUGUAGCUUCACUCCAAUCUCUGUCUCUGUGUCUUCUUCUUCUGUCUCUUAUAAGGGCACUGUCAUAGGACUCAGGAACCUCUCCAAACAGGAUGAUCUCAUGUCGAAAUGCCUAACUGAUAAUACCUACAAAGACCCCUUUUGCAAAGAAGACCUCACUCACAGGCUCAGGGGUUUGGAUGCGACCAUCUCUUCUUAGUGAAGAGUCGUGAGGGCUACCAUUCAGCCCACUACACCCAGCAGUAGCCGUUCCAUGCCCUGCAGCUGCACUGAGAUGACAGAAGUUGUAGGAAAUUCUUCCAUUUUCUUUUCCUGGAAAGCAAAACUAGUGCAGGAAGAAGGGAGGGGAGAGUAGGAGAUGUGUCUGGACUAUGGGCUUGGCUGCUGCACUGCAGAUCCUGAAUAGCACAGGUCUGAAUGAGAAGGAAAUUAAGUCUUGCUUGUUCACAGCUCUCCAGGUGUGCAGUGUGCAGGGCUGAGUGGCAGUCCCUGUGCCAGGGAUCCAGCAUCUCUUGCUGGUUCCUCUGCCAACCAUAGGCUGCUGUACCCAUCUGCAUGGCUCACCUCCAAGUCCUCUUCCUGGCCAAGGGGAGGGAUGUCCAUGACUAAUGGUGAGGUUGUUGCACAUUGGCAUGGCUGAGAGCCUCCUUCUGGUGCCAUGUAUUCUAACUGCCUGUAUUCUAUUGGUUGUUCAAUGUUUGGGCUGCCACCCCUGGUAUAUCCCUCCCCUUGAAGGUAUGACCCAGAAGUUAUACCUAUCACAUCCUCUUCCACUCACACCCUAUUGGCCAGUAUUUGGUCAUAUGACCACAGCUAGCUGCAAGGGAGUCUGGGAAAUGUAUUCUUUAUUGGAGGUGGCCAUCUGCCUGGCAGAAAAUUCUAAUAAUGGAUACUGGGGAAAUGGAUAACUGGGUGAUAGCUAACAUUCUCUGCAAAGGAGGGAUCUGACUUUCUGGGACCAGGCUCAGCAUCUCCUGGCUCUUCCAAUGACUGGGAGACUGCUGGAGAAAGGCUGAUGGGUCUUUGCCUGGAAAAGCCCUAGAUCUUAUGGUGGCCUGGAUCCUUGAGGAUAGCAGUUAUGGGACGUUGCUGGCUUCACUUUGCUUGUUUUUACACCAGCUGAUGCCCACUGCCCCAGCAUGACAAGGGUUCAGCUUUCUGUCCUUUGAGAUGAUAGCCCACUCUCUGCCCAAAUAGGUGAAGAAAACUGCAUUGAUUGUACACUUUGGUGCUAGGUACUGUAGCAAGCAUUUCUCCAUGCAUUACUGCAAUUUGAGAAGCUGCAGGAGCUCUCUGGCAAACUGCCGUCUGCAAAAUAGGAUGUAAACAAUCCCCCAGAGUAGCCUGCUCAAGGCCUUUGGGGACCUGGGGGUAGCCCCCAGCAUGAGUUGGCUGUGGGGUGCUAUGUUGCCCAGCAGGCAGUGUGAGGUUACUAGCCAUAGGAAGGCAAAACCACCUCCUUUCCUUGGCAAUAUCCUACCUGCAUUGUGUGUUUCAAAGCCUCCUGCCAGACCCCAAACGAAGCACUCACGCCAUCCUGUUCUCGUUGUGGCUCAGUGAUAAUAGAGAGUGGACCUGCUCUAGUCCACUCAUUCAUUCACUUUUUCAGCAGUCAUUCAUUUAUUCAGCAAAUAAGAGUACGUUCUAAAGGCCAGACCAUGUGUUAAAUGCGCCAGGCAUCAUCUCUGCAGCUAAGCAGUGUGUGAUAUUAUGGAUAGACAGACACAGACAUGAUUGUAUCAUGCUAAACUAUUAUGCUAAAAGUAAUGUGAAUUGGCCAAUAAGGAUAUGGAAAUAGGUCCAGCCUCACUAGAACUGUUCAGGAAAUGUGAAUACUAAUCCCCCAGAUACCUACUUCCGGGUAUAUAUCUAGAGGAACUGAAAAUGGGGCUGAGCUUGGUGGCUUGCACCUGUAGUCUACCUACUCAGGAGGUGGAGGAGGGAGGAUCUUUUGAGGCCGGGAGUUCAUUUUUGUAGUGAACUUUGAUCACACGACUUCAUUCCAGCCUGGGCGAUAGAGCUAACCCAUCGCUUAAAAAAACAAGAA